CUCUUAUUCAGAGUGGUGGAGGUACAUAGGACCUGUGAAGCCACGGCAACCCCUCUACGGAAGGUGCCAACCUGAGCGAGCAAUCGAACAAUAAGAG
rnacentral:ncRNA from 2 species